UACAUGCAAGUCGAGCGGAGAAAUGGGAGCUUGCUCCCAUUUCUCAGCGGCGGACGGGUGAGUAACACGUGGGCAACCUGCCCUACAGACUGGGAUAACUCCGGGAAACCGGAGCUAAUACCGGGUAAUACAUAGCAUCGCAUGAUGCAACGUUGAAAGUUGGCCUUUGGCUAACACUGUAGGAUGGGCCCGCGGCGCAUUAGCUAGUUGGUAAGGUAACGGCUUACCAAGGCCACGAUGCGUAGCCGACCUGAGAGGGUGAUCGGCCACACUGGGACUGAGACACGGCCCAGACUCCUACGGGAGGCAGCAGUAGGGAAUCUUCCGCAAUGGACGAAAGUCUGACGGAGCAACGCCGCGUGAGUGACGAAGGCCUUCGGGUCGUAAAGCUCUGUUGUUAGGGAAGAACAAGUACCGUUCGAAUAGGGCGGUACCUUGACGGUACCUAACCAGAAAGCCACGGCUAACUACGUGCCAGCAGCCGCGGUAAUACGUAGGUGGCAAGCGUUGUCCGGAAUUAUUGGGCGUAAAGCGCGCGCAGGCGGUCUCUUAAGUCUGAUGUGAAAGCCCACGGCUCAACCGUGGAGGGCCAUUGGAAACUGGGGGACUUGAGUGCAGAAGAGGAGAGUGGAAUUCCACGUGUAGCGGUGAAAUGCGUAGAUAUGUGGAGGAACACCAGUGGCGAAGGCGGCUCUCUGGUCUGUAACUGACGCUGAGGCGCGAAAGCGUGGGGAGCGAACAGGAUUAGAUACCCUGGUAGUCCACGCCGUAAACGAUGAGUGCUAGGUGUUUGGGGGGGUUCCACCCUCAGUGCUGAAGUUAACACAUUAAGCACUCCGCCUGGGGAGUACGACCGCAAGGUUGAAACUCAAAGGAAUUGACGGGGGCC
rnacentral:rRNA from 2 species